CACUACCACAAAAACGGAAGAUAGCCGCGAAAAAUUAGUAGCUAUUUUGACAACAGCCGCUACUUGUUGGUUUUUUGGCGGUUUUGGUGGUGAGCACUGGAAAAGCAGCAAUUUCUUUCGGCGAUGCUUCAACCUCCUUUUUUCUUGAUCUCAUUUUUUCUUUUGUUAUCGCUUACAAGAGCCAGCGCCCAAUGUCUCUCCCCCUCCCUCGGAUUCUCUUGCCACAGCAUCCUGCCAUCAUCAAAUUUGACCUUUGACGCCGCCAACCCCAUUAGACGCACCCUUUUCCCUCUUUUCUCUCUUUGAAUAAACAUCCCCAAACCUUGAUAACCCUAAAUCUUCUUCCCCGAGGUACCAUUGGCGCUAUUUAUGCUCGUUCAGACGAAGACGACGACACUGGGCUCUCUGUUUUAUCUCGUCUGCCAGAUUUGCUCGCCAUCUCCUCCUACUCCUGCAUGGUUCAAAUCUGUUGCAGAUAUAUAGAUUCCUGAUGAAGAUGUUGGACUUUAUGAGGUUGCCAAGAAAAUCGACGACAUAGUAUGGCUUCGGCACCUCGAGGAUCCUCUUGCUCCUUUUUACUCUUCUCCUCCUUGGCCUCAACCUUAGUAUCCAGAUUUUAGGCUGAAAUGGUUAUCCUCUUUGGUCUAUAUUCUUAGCAAAGCUAUUUGAGUCAUGCUGAAGCUAGCCAUUGAUGUUAGUUGUUUGGAUUCUGAGCCUUUUACUGCUGCUGAUGGCUUGCCGAAACAGGUAAGGUGUUUCUGCUUCCACUUUCAUAAGCAUUCAACAACCUCACUUAUUUCGACCUAGAUUAGUUGAGGUGGGGUUUUAUAUCAUGUGCUAGUCUCUGGGAUAAAAGUCACUUGAUGAGACAAAUUGAGAAGUAUGUGCUUUCUUCUUGAUGCCCCUCUUCAUCUAUAUCAUACUGAUUUCUUAAAAAUGAGGUGCAUUAAUUUAUUUCAAUUUCAGGUAUGCUGGUAUUUAUACCUUUAGGGUGUCUAAUUUCUUAUAUUAUAUACCCUUCAUGUAUUUCCGCUCCCAGGAACACGUAUCCAGAUCAUCUUCUCCCUAAAGCAUUAUGUUUUUGUUUUGCGUUUCAGCUGACUCAAAUGUGUUUCUGUGCUGUAGAACCUUGCGCAUGAUUCAUACUCACACUUACGUUCACAAACUCAAUAUUAAGGUUUAAAUAGCAAGAAUUUUUCUAGGUGUUUGUUGUAAGAAAGUUUGACUUAUAGAAUAUGCUUAAAAUCAAUGAGUAAUUUUUUACUAUGUAUGUGACUUAGGUUUUUUUAGAUGAAUGUUCAUUUUCACAAAAAAAUAUUGGAAUUCUGCUAUAUUAGUUUAUUUUCCAAUAGAAUAUAUUUCACUGAAAAAUAAAAAGGUCAUAAUUUCAGCCUCUGCAUUAUAACUUUAAUUUUCUGGAUAUUUUCUUUUUCAAUGGUUCUCAAUUAGGAAGAACUGCAACAACUACCAGGUGAAAAUCCUCAAAAGUGAGUCUAUGUUCUUUAGAUGAAAACGCUUACCACUUUUUUUUAUAUUAAUGUGCAUUUGGAUUCUGAAUUAAUUUCCGAUCCCAUACUAACAGGUUUGUAUUUUCUAAUUUAUUUGUAUACCCUUGAAGGUAUAUAUAUAUUUGUGCUUUACUUAUCUUCAAAAACUGCACAUGAAUGCAAAGUAAAAUAAAAGUGAGGAAGAACUAACAACACUUAAGCAAGAUGCUAUCAAUGGGAAAAUAUCACCCUUAAACUCUGUCCGAAAAGUAAAGAAGUCUGAGAAGCAAAAAUACAAGAGGAGUCUUAAACAUCACAUUGGAGUUUAAUUUUGUGCCAACAU